GCCGGGAUAGCUCAGCUGGGAGAGCAACAGACUGAAGUGCCACGGCAUUCUGGAGGUCCCGUGUUCAAUCCACGGUCCUGGCA
rnacentral:tRNA from 1 species